UGCUUAACACAUGCAAGUCGAACGGGGAACAUUUUAUGGAAGCUUCGGUGGAAAUAGCUUGUUCCUAGUGGCGGACGGGUGAGUAACGCGUGGGUAACCUGCCUCACACUGGGGGAUAACAGUCAGAAAUGACUGCUAAUACCGCAUAAGCGCACGGGAUUGCAUGAUCCAGUGUGAAAAACUCCGGUGGUGUGAGAUGGACCCGCGUUGGAUUAGCCAGUUGGCAGGGUAACGGCCUACCAAAGCGACGAUCCAUAGCCGGCCUGAGAGGGUGGACGGCCACAUUGGGACUGAGACACGGCCCAGACUCCUACGGGAGGCAGCAGUGGGGAAUAUUGCACAAUGGGGGAAACCCUGAUGCAGCGACGCCGCGUGAAGGAAGAAGUAUCUCGGUAUGUAAACUUCUAUCAGCAGGGAAGAAAAUGACGGUACCUGACUAAGAAGCCCCGGCUAACUACGUGCCAGCAGCCGCGGUAAUACGUAGGGGGCAAGCGUUAUCCGGAUUUACUGGGUGUAAAGGGAGCGUAGACGGAGCAGCAAGUCUGAUGUGAAAGGCGGGGGCUCAACCCCCGGACUGCAUUGGAAACUGUUGAUCUUGAGUACCGGAGAGGUAAGCGGAAUUCCUAGUGUAGCGGUGAAAUGCGUAGA
rnacentral:rRNA from 1 species